rnacentral:rRNA from 1 species
GGGCCCGCACAAGCGGUGGAGUAUGUGGUUUAAUUCGAUGCAACGCGAAGAACCUUACCAGGAUUUGACAUCCUGCGAAUCUCUUGGAAACGAGAGAGUGCCUUCGGGAACGCAGUGACAGGUGGUGCAUGGCUGUCGUCAGCUCGUGUCGUGAGAUGUUGGGUUAAGCCCCGCAACGAGCGCAACCCACGUCUUUAGUUGCCAGCAUUUAGUUGGGCACUCUAGAGAGACUGCCGGUGAUAAACCGGAGGAAGGUGUGGAUGACGUCAAGUCAUCUGCCCCUUACAUUCUGGGCUACACACGUACUACAAUGCUACGGACAAAGGGCAGCAAGUUCGCGAGGACAAGCA